GAUGAACGCUGGCGGCGUGCUUAACACAUGCAAGUCGAGCGAAGCACUUAAGUUUGAUUCUUCGGAUGAAGACUUUUGUGACUGAGCGGCGGACGGGUGAGUAACGCGUGGGUAACCUGCCUCAUACAGGGGGAUAACAGUUAGAAAUGGCUGCUAAUACCGCAUAAGACCACAGUACUGCAUGGUACAGUGGUAAAAACUCCGGUGGUAUGAGAUGGACCCGCGUCUGAUUAGGUAGUUGGUGAGGUAACGGCCCACCAAGCCGACGAUCAGUAGCCGACCUGAGAGGGUGACCGGCCACAUUGGGACUGAGACACGGCCCAGACUCCUACGGGAGGCAGCAGUGGGGAAUAUUGCACAAUGGGCGAAAGCCUGAUGCAGCGACGCCGCGUGAAGGAUGAAGUAUUUCGGUAUGUAAACUUCUAUCAGCAGGGAAGAAAAUGACGG
rnacentral:rRNA from 1 species